rnacentral:tRNA from 1 species
GGCCACGUAGCUCAGCUGGUAGAGCACGCGCGUUUAAAGGGUAGUCGGCGUCCAUGCGUGGGUUCGAAUCCCACCUGGGCUA